GAUGAACGCUGGCGGCGUGCCUAAUACAUGCAAGUCGAGCGAACGGACGAGAAGCUUGCUUUUCUGAUGUUAGCGGCGGACGGGUGAGUAACACGUGGAUAACCUACCUAUAAGACUGGGAUAACUUCGGGAAACCGGAGCUAAUACCGGAUAAUAUUUUGAACCGCAUGGUUCAAAAGUGAAAGACGGUCUUGCUGUCACUUAUAGAUGGAUCCGCGCUGCAUUAGCUAGUUGGUAAGGUAACGGCUUACCAAGGCAACGAUGCAUAGCCGACCUGAGAGGGUGAUCGGCCACACUGGAACUGAGACACGGUCCAGACUCCUACGGGAGGCAGCAGUAGGGAAUAUUCCGCAAUGGGCGAAAGCCUGACGGAGCAACGCCGCGUGAGUGAUGAAGGUCUUCGGAUCGUAAAACUCUGUUAUUAGGGAAGAACAUAUGUGUAAGUAACUGUGCACAUCUUGACGGUACCUAAUCAGAGAGCCACGGCUAACUACGUG
rnacentral:rRNA from 1 species